GAGCAGGCGCCGCAGCUCCUCCAGAGAUGGUGUUUUGUAGCUGCUCUGGCUUUCUGUAGUCCGUCCUGAGGCGCUUCUUAUCUUGGGGCGCAGAGAAGCUGGACAACUAAAUCCCUGUUCACAGAAAUGAAGGGGGGAGCAGUGACCGCUGUGCCAGUCAGUGCUAGACACAUUGAACGUUGCCUAGAAGCCACCCUUCCGCUGCACACUUCAGAUGGCUUUAGGCAAGAGGAGGAAUGGAGGAAUUCCCACACUGGAAUGGACGUUCCCAUCGAUUUUGGUAGCUUCUUUGAUGUCGGCCACUCCGGUGCCAGGUACGUCAGAAGACCCUCCGUGCCUUCGGUGCCAGUCCUGACCCUGGCUCCAGCUGGGGAUCUUGGACACCUGCGUGGUCUGUCUGAUCCCCCACAGGAAGCCGGCAGCAGAAAUAGAACUUGCAUUUCCUGUGGCCGGGACACAGGGCCAUCUGCCAUUUCGUUAAAUACUUUCAAGAAUACAGCCUCCUCCAAUCCUUCCCACCUCAUAAUAUCUGCAGCAAAUGUUCUCCUUUUUUUUGAUGUAUCUCAUUCCUUGCAGUGUGGCUAAUGACCACUUUAGGGCACUUCUCACUCCCUAUAAAGUUGCUUUCAACUGUUUUGGUUUUGGUUUCUUAUUUACUACUGCCUGUUAUUCCUUCCUCUUUCCCUCUCUGCUGUAUAAAUACUUUGAUUUUCAUAUUACUUAGCCUCAGAGGACUGCAGGCUGCUGUCAGUCUUGCUUUCUUAAGCUUCACAGGAGUGGAGAAUUAGAGGGCACUGCGAAAGAGCCCUGGGUAGUGCUACAGCAUCCAGGCUGUCAUUCAGGUCGUGAAGGACAGGCUGCAACUCACUCGCUGUGCUUUUCAGGCCCAUAAUCCCAUCCUUGUGCCAGCUGGGGCAAGAACUCUGAUGUAUAGCAAACCUUAAGAAAAGU